AGAGUUUGAUCCUGGCUCAGGACGAACGUUGGCGGCGCGCAUAAUGCAUGCAAGUCGAACGAAGUCCCACCCUUCGGGGUGAUGACUUAGUGGCAGACGGCUGAGUAACACGUGAGUGAUCUGCCUUUGGGUGAGGGACAACAGAGGGAAACUUCUGCUAAUACCUCAUACGAUCCAUGAUCUAAGGUCUUGGAUGAAAGGUGCCGGGUAACUGGUUGCCGCCCUUAGAUGAGCUCGCGGCCUAUCAGGUUGUUGGUGGGGUAAUAGCCUACCAAGCCUAAGACGGGUAGCUGGUGUGAGAGCACGACCAGUCAGAGGGGGACUGAGACACGGCCCCCACUCCUACGGGAGGCAGCAGCAGGGAAUCUUCCACAAUGGGCGAAAGCCUGAUGGAGCGACGCCGCGUGAGGGAUGAAGGCUCUAGGGUCGUAAACCUCUUUUCUUAGGGAAGAGCAAGGACGGUACCUAAGGAAUAAGUGACGGCUAACUACGUGCCAGCAGCCGCGGUAAUACGUAGGUCACAAACGUUGUCCGGAAUUAUUGGGCGUAAAGGGUCCGUAGGCGGUUCGGUAAGUCUCCUGUGAAAUCUUCAGGCUCAACUUGAAGAGGUCGGGGGAUACUGCUGAACUUGAGACUGACAGAGGCAAGUGGAAUUCCCGGUGUAGUGGUGAAAUGCGUAGAUAUCGGGAGGAACACCAAUGGCGAAAGCGGCUUGCUGGGUCAGUUCUGACGCUGAGGGACGAAAGCGUGGGUAGCAAACCGGAUUAGAUACCCGGGUAGUCCACGCCCUAAACGAUGAAUGCUAGGUUUAUAGGGGCUUGCCCCCCGUGAGCCGGAGCUAACGCGUUAAGCAUUCCGCCUGGGGACUACGGCCGCAAGGCUAAAACUCAAAGGAAUUGACGGGGGCCCG
rnacentral:rRNA from 1 species